rnacentral:misc_RNA from 1 species
GAUGAAGAACGCAGCGAAAUGCGAUAAGUAAUGUGAAUUGCAGAAUUCAGUGAAUCAUCGAAUCUUUGAACGCACAUUGCGCCCGCCAGUAUUCUGGCGGGCAUGCCUGUCCGAGCGUCAUUUCAACCCUCGAACCCCUCCGGGGGGUCGGCGUUGGGGAUCGGCCCUGCCUCUUGGCGGUGGCCGUCUCCGAAAUACAGUGGCGGUCUCGCCGCAGCCUCUCCUGCGCAGUAGUUUGCACACUCGCAUCGGGAGCGCGGCGCGUCCACAGCCGUUAAACACCCAACUUCUGAAAUGUUGACCUCGGAUCAGGUAGGAAUACCCGCUGAACUUAAGCAUAUCAAUAAGCGGAGUA